rnacentral:lncRNA from 1 species
GGCCCUUGAAGAAAGCACCAUCGUUCAUCAUCCGUUCAUCCAAGAUCAAGCCCCAACGGCCUUUUGGAUCAACAACUUCGACAAAUCCACACAUCCAACCGAUCUUCAAGAUUAAGCCCAAAAACCCUUGAAGAUCCGUUCAUCACUGUUCUUCAAGAUCAAGCCCAAAAGCCCUUGAAGACCCGUUCAUCACCGUUAUUCAAGAUCAACCCUUAACGGCCCUUGAAGAAACACUCAUCCUUAACAUCAAGCCCCAACGGCUCCUUGAAGAUUCGCUCAAAUCCACCUUCAAAGAUCAAGCCCACGACCCCUUGAAGAAACUUCCAACAGUUCAUCCAAGAUCAAGCCUCGACGGCCCUUGGAUCAACGAAACAUCCACAAAUCAAUACCUUACGGAGAUCGAAUCAGAGGAUCAAAUUUAAGAGAGAUUGUAACCCAAAAUCAUCAAACACAAAUAUUAUUUUGUGCACGUUGUUCUUGUCUCAUUCGUUUCAGGAAAUUUUCGUGUUCACAAGUGUAGUCAAUGUCGUAUCGUUAAGUUUCAUAGAUAGUGUAGUACCGUUAAGUUUCAUAAACAAUUUUGUGAGGACGCACGCUUUAGAAUUUAAAAUUUUUUUUUUAAUAUUAAAAUUAUGUCCUUUUUAAAAUUUAAAUUCUUUUGUCAUUUUUAUUAAAACUUAAGAGUUUUUCAUUAAAAUUUAAGUCUUUUUCAUUAAACAAAGUUAUGGCAUAGUUUUUAUUAAAAUAUACUUAACCCAAGUCAUUUUCAUGAAAGUUCACUUAAAUUUUAGUCUGAGAUUAUUAAAUAAUGAUUUUAGCCUAAUUUAUUUUUUUCGGUAACCUUUUUAAAAAAAAUUAACUUAUAUAAAUUAUACUAAUUUAUUUUUAUGAACAUUUUAACCUAAAAAUAUUUGAAUUUUGAUAAAUA